CCUACGGGGCGCAGCAGUGGGGAAUAUUGCACAAUGGGGGAAACCCUGAUGCAGCAACGCCGCGUGAGUGAAGAAGUAUUUCGGUAUGUAAAGCUCUAUCAGCAGGGAAGAAGAUGACGGUACCUGAGUAAGAAGCCCCGGCUAACUACGUGCCAGCAGCCGCGGUAAUACGUAGGGGGCAAGCGUUAUCCGGAUUUACUGGGUGUAAAGGGAGCGUAGACGGUGAGACAAGUCUGAAGUGAAAGCCC
rnacentral:rRNA from 1 species